rnacentral:rRNA from 1 species
UACGUAGGGGGCAAGCGUUGUCCGGAUUCAUUGGGCGUAAAGAGCGUGUAGGCGGCCAGGUAGGUCGGUUGUGAAAACUGGAGGCUCAACCUUCAGAGGUCGACCGAAACCAUCUGGCUAGAGUCCGGGAGAGGAGAGUGGAAUUCCUGGUGUAGCGGUGGAAUGCGCAGAUAUCAGGAGAACACCCGGUGGCGAAGGCGGGUCUC